AUGUUUCUUAGGAUUGCGUCGUCUCCGGCCGCCGUCGCCGCGGCUAGCCAGCUCUCUGCGCCAGGACCGGCCCACGGUUCUGCGAGGCUGCCGCCGUUGGCGAAAGGGUCGUCGACGGCGACGGCGUGCAGGGCUGCGGGGAAGGGGAACAAGGAGGAGGUGCUCCUCAGCGGUGUGAUGUUCCAGCCGUUCGAGGAGCUCAAGGGGGAGCUUUCGCUCGUGCCGCAGGCCGAGGGCCAGUCGCUCGCCAGGCAAAAGUUCGUCGACGAAUGCGAGGCCGCCAUCAACGAGCAGAUCAAUGUGGAGUACAAUGCCUCGUACGCGUACCACUCCCUCUACGCCUACUUCGACCGGGACAAUGUUGCCCUUAAGGGCUUUGCCAAGUUUAAGGAAUCGAGCGACGAGGAGAGGGAACACGCGGAGAUGCUUAUGGAGUACCAGAACAGACGUGGAGGGCGGGUGAGGCUCCAGUCUACCGUCACCCCAUUGACAGAGUUCGACCACUCUGAGAAAGGCGAUGCUCUGUACGCAAUGGAGUUGGCUCUAGCUCUUGAAAAGCUCGUGAAUGAGAAGCUGCACAACCUGCACUCUGUGGCAACAAGGUGCAACGAUCCUCAGCUGAGUGACUUUGUUGAGAGUCAAUUUCUUCAGGAGCAGGUUGAUGCCGUGAAGAAGAUCUCGGAGUACGUGACGCAGCUUAGGAGAAUCGGCAAAGGGCACGGGGUGUGGCACUUUGAUCGGAUGCUGCUUGAAGAAGAGGCCUAG
rnacentral:rRNA from 1 species